UGCGGCCUGCAUUCUUUUCUAAGUACCUC
rnacentral:piRNA from 1 species